rnacentral:lncRNA from 1 species
GGAAAACUGGUAUAGAAUCCAGGGAGGGGGCAGUUAUCAUGGUAGUAGGUGUGAGAUCAUUGUGAAAUAUCAGAAGGUACACUCUGAAGUAGUAAGAAAUAGAUGGGGUCAGUACCAAAGCUGGUAAAGACAGAACACAAAUGGCCUGCAAAUCCAACAUGCUGAAAGGAGAUGGGUAACUAGGAUAUAAAACCAAAAAUGGAGUAGAGACACCAAGGGAGGCAACAAUAACACAGAAGAUCCUGCGGUUUUAGAAACUGUCAACAACAUCCUGUGAAAUUGAGUGGAUAGAUGAAAUGGGGCAAAAGGGAGAAAAUGCUUCUGCAAUAUUGCAGAUGGCAUUAAUGGUAAAGAAUUCAUCGGCCAGUGCAAGAGACAUAACAAGCGUGAGUUUGAUCCCUGUAUAGGGAAGGAGGAGGGAUUCAGGGAUCCCUGGAGGAGGACACGGCAACCCACUCCAGUAUUCUUGCCUGGAGAAUCGCAUGGAUAGACGAACCUGGAGGGCUACAGUCCAUAGGGUCGCAAAGAACUGGACAUGACUGAAACAACUUAGCACUCAUGUACUCAUAUUGUAAUAUAAUCUAUAAUACAUAAUAUUUUAUGAUGUAGCAGUUGAAGAUUGUGCUUAUGGAAUUUUUAUAGGUACUAGAGAAAUCAGUGUACCCAUCCUGUUUCCACUUCCUCUCCUUAGUUAUUAUCUUCUAUCAAUGGUUAAAAUUAUUUCAUUAUAAUAGGUUCAGCUCC